UACGUAGGUGGCAAGCGUUGUCCGGAUUUAUUGGGUUUAAAGGGUGCGUAGGCGGCUUUGUAAGUCAGUGGUGAAAUAUGGCAGCUUAACUGUCAGGGUGCCAUUGAUACUGCGGAGCUUGAGUACAGAUGAGGUAGGCGGAAUUGACGGUGUAGCGGUGAAAUGCUUAGAUAUCGUCAAGAACACCUAUAGCGAAGGCAGCUUACUAGGCUGUAACUGACGCUGAGGCGCGAAAGCCAGGGGAGCAAACGGG
rnacentral:rRNA from 1 species